rnacentral:rRNA from 1 species
CAGCCCGCGGUAAUACGAAGGGUGCAAGCGUUACUCGGAAUUACUGGGCGUAAAGCGUGCGUAGGUGGUGGUUUAAGUCCGUUGUGAAAGCCCUGGGCUCAACCUGGGAAUUGCAGUGGAUACUGGGUCACUAGAGUGUGGUAGAGGAUAGUGGAAUUUCCGGUGUAGCAGUGAAAUGCGUAGAGAUCGGAAGGAACAUCUGUGGCGAAGGCGACUAUCUGGGCCAACACUGACACUGAGGCACGAAAGCGUGGGGAGCAAACAGGAUUAGAUACCCCUGUGUCCCUGUCUCUUAUACACA